rnacentral:rRNA from 1 species
AGUGAACGCUGGCGGUAGGCCUAACACAUGCAAGUCGAACGGCAGCACAGUAAGAGCUUGCUCUUACGGGUGGCGAGUGGCGGACGGGUGAGGCAUACAUCGGAAUCUACUUUUUCGUGGGGGAUAACGUAGGGAAACUUACGCUAAUACCGCAUACGACCUACGGGUGAAAGCAGGGGAUCUUCGGACCUUUCGCGAUUGAAUGAGCCGAUGUCGGAUUAGCUAGUUGGCGGGGUAAAGGCACACCAAGGCGACGAUCCGUAGCUGGUCUGAGAGGAUGAUCAGCCACACUGGAACUGAGACACGGUCCAGACUCCUACGGGAGGCAGCAGUGGGGAAUAUUGGACAAUGGGCGCAAGCCUGAUCCAGCCAUACCGCGUGGGUGAAGAAGGCCUUCGGGUUGUAAAGCCCUUUUGUUGGGAAAGAAAAGCAGCAGGUUAAUACCCCGCUGUUCUGACGGUACCCAAAGAAUAAGCACCGGCUAACUUCGUG